rnacentral:rRNA from 1 species
UUAGGCCUUAKGGUCGUAAAKCUCUUUCGCCAGKGAUGAUAAUGACAGUACCUGGUAAAGAAACCCCGGYUAACUCCGUKCCAGCAGCCGCGGUAAUACRGAGGGGGUUAGCGUUGUUCGGAAUUWCUGGGCGUAAAGCGCACGUAGGCGGAUUARUCAGUCARAGGUGAAAUCCCAGGGCUCAACCCUGKAACUGCCUUUGAUACUGCUWRUCUUGAGUUCGAGAGAGGWGAGUGGAAUUCCGAGUGUAGAGGUGAAAUUCGUAGAUAUUCGGAGGAACACCAGUGGCGAAGGCGGCUCACUGGCUCGAUACUGACGCUGAGGUGCGAAAGUGUGGGGAGCAAACAGGAUUAGAUACCCUGGUAGUCCACACCGUAAACGAUGAAUGCCAGUCGUCGGGCAGUAUACUGUUCGGUGACACACCUAAC